ACGCUUGCUAUGGUGAAAUGUGACUGAAACCCUCCGCAGAGCCAAGAGCCGCUGGAGAACCCAGCUCCGAUAAGUGCCAGUGGUACAGCAUCACUGAUUUGGUAUUCCCAAGAGCUACAGUUAUUUUUCCAGAUGAUGGUACUUGAAGAGGAGGCCUUUGAGAUUCCCAGGAAGGUCUCAGAGCCAUCCAGCUAAAGACUACAUUUCCCAGCUUUCCUUGCAACUAAAUGUGGUCACAUGACUAGGAGUACUGCCAAUGGGAGCUGAGCUAAAUCGCUAGAAGAAUUGAUUUCCAACUAGAAGAAUUGAUUUCCAACUAGAAGACACUGGAGCUGAAGCUCCAAUACUUUGGCCACCUGAUGCAAAUAGCCAACUCAUUGGAAAGAUCCUGAUUCUGGAAAAGAUUGAAAGCAGAAGAAGGGGGUGACAGAGGAUGAAAUGGUUGGAUGGCAUCACCAAUUCAAUGGACAUGAAUUUGAGCAAACACUGGGAGAUGGGAAAGGACAGGGAAACCUGGCAUACUGCAGUCCAUGGGGUCACAAAGAGUCAGACAUGACUGAGCAGCUGAAGAACAACAAUCUAGAAGAAAGUCUCUGCCCUUCAUAGGUGAUACAAGCAAAGGUAUUAUUUCUGCCCCUAAGGAGCUAUCAAUCCAGUUUCAGAAACUUGUGGGAUUCCCUAGCUUUUCCCUAAAAGCUUUUAGGAGAACAAAGUCAUGGCCCCCAGGUACUAACUCAUAAAAUAGUGUCCCUAAGAAAGGCUUAAAACUCAACAUUAAGAAAACUAAGAUCAUGGUAUCUUGUCCCAUCACUUCUUGGCAAAUAGAUGGGGAAACAAUGGAAACAGUGAGAGACUUUAUUUUGGGGAGCUACAAAAUCACUGCACAUGGUGACUGCAGCCAUGAAAUUUAAAGAUGCUUGCUCCUUGGAAAAAAAGAUAUGAACAACCUAGACAGCAGAGACAUUACUUUGCCAACAAAGGUCCAGUCUAGUCAAAGCUACGGUUUUUCCAGUAGUCAUGUAUGGAUGUGAGAGUUGGACUAUAAAGAAAGCUGAGUGCUGAAGAACUGAUGUUUUUUAAUUGUGGUGUUGGAGAAGACUCUUGAGAUUCCCUUGGACUGUAAGGAUAUCCAACCAGUCCAUCCUAAAGGAAACCAGUCUUGAAUAUUCAUUGGAAGAACUGAUGCUGAAGCUGAAAUUCCAAUACUUUGGCCACCUGAUGUGAAGAACUGACUCAUUGGAAAAGGCCCUGAUGCUGGCAAAGAUUGAGGGCAGAAGGAGAAGGGGAUGACAGAGGAUGAGAUGGUUGGAUGGCAUCACUGACUCUAUGGACAUGAGUUGAGUAACCUCCAGGAGUUGGUGAUGGACAGGGAAGCCUGGCAUGUUGCAGUCCAUAGGGUCGCAAAGAGUCAGAUAUAGGACUGAGCAACUGAACUGAAGAAAGGUUACACUGCCUUGGCCUAUUCAAAUUCCUUGUGCUUGUCAUCAUAUCAUUGGCUUUUGAAUAGACUUUUUAAUCUUCAGUGAAUUUAGUACUUCUUAGGGGCUACAUCUUUUAAAUUCCAGUGGU
ensembl:lncRNA